AUUGAACGCUGGCGGCAGGCCUAACACAUGCAAGUCGAGCGAGCGGCGGACGGGUGAGCAAUGUAUGGGCAUGUGCGUGAUGGAGGGGGUUAACUACUGGAAACGGUUGCUAAUAACGCAUACCAUAGGAUGGACCCGUUUGGGAUUAGCUUGUGGGGGAGGUAACGGCUCACCUAGGCGACGAACCCUAGCUGGUCUGAGAGGAUGAUCAGCCACACUGGAACUGAGACACGGCCCAGACUCCUACGGGAGGCAGCAGUGGGGAAUAUUGCACAAUGGGCGCAAGCCUGAUGCAGCCAUGCCGCGUGUGUGAAGAAGGCCUUCGGGUUGUAAAGUACUCUCAGUCGGGAGGCGUUACCGACAGAAGAAGCACCGGCUAACUCCGUGCCAGCAGCCGCGGUAAUAC
rnacentral:rRNA from 1 species